GUGUAUAAAAUCGCAUUUAUAUGACCUUUCGCCUACACAAAGGGUGUUGAUUGAGGUACUCCCUCGCCUGAAGCUGCAUCAUGUAAGGAUCCGGAGUGUGUCCCAGAGGUACUCCCUCGCCUGAAGCUGCAUCAUGUAAGGAUCCGGAGUGUGUCCCAGAGGUACUCCCUCGCCUGAAGCUGCAUCAUGUAAGGAUCCGGAGUGUGUCCCAGAGGUACUCCCUCGCCUGAAGCUGCAUCAUGUAAGGAUC